UUUCCAGACUCCUACGGGAGGCAGCAGUGAGGAAUAUUGGUCAAUGGGCGGAAGCCUGAACCAGCCAAGUCGCGUGAGGGAAGAAGGCCCUGCGGGUCGCAGACCUCUUUGGACGGGGAGCAAGGCCGCCGACGUGUCGGCGGAAGGAGAGUACCCGUAGAACAAGCAUCGGCUAACUCCGUGCCAGCAGCCGCGGUAAUACGUAGGUGGCAAGCGUUGUCCGGAUUUACUGGGUGUAAAGGGCGUGCAGCCGGGCUGACAAGUCAGAUGUGAAAUCCCGCGGCUCAACCGCGGAACUGCAUUUGAAACUGUCAGUCUUGAGUACCGGAGAGGUCAUCGGAAUUCCUUGUGUAGCGGUGAAAUGCGUAGAUAUAAGGAAGAACACCAGUGGCGAAGGCGGAUGACUGGACGGCAACUGACGGUGAGGCGCGAAAGCGUGGGGAGCAAACAGGAUUAGAUACCCGGGUA
rnacentral:rRNA from 1 species